CAUACCCUACUGUGUUCGUUUGAAGUCUAUGUUUUGAGCCAACACAUUUACUGCGGGAGCCUGUCUCUGAUUAUGGCCUGUAUGCCCUGUAUGUUUGAGGGGACACACAAAGUAAUCAGGCGAGCACCCACCUGCCGGGGGCAGGUUCAAAACACAGACAAUACGGCAUGGUGGGGAUUGA
rnacentral:other from 1 species